rnacentral:rRNA from 1 species
AUUGAACGCUGGCGGCAGGCCUAACACAUGCAAGUCGAGCGGAUGAAGGGAGCUUGCUCCUGGAUUCAGCGGCGGACGGGUGAGUAAUGCCUAGGAAUCUGCCUGGUAGUGGGGGAUAACGUCCGGAAACGGGCGCUAAUACCGCAUCCGUCCUGAGGGAGAAAGUGGGGGUUCUUCGGACCUCACGCUAUCUGAUGAGCCUAGGUCGGAUUAGCUAGUUGGUGGGGUAAAGGCCUACCAAGGCGACGAUCCGUAACUGGUCUGAGAGGAUGAUCAGUCACACUGGAACUGAGACACGGUCCAGACUCCUACGGGAGGCAGCAGUGGGGAAUAUUGGACAAUGGGCGAAAGCCUGAUCCAGCCAUGCCGCGUGUGUGAAGAAGGUCUUCGGAUUGUAAAGCACUUUAAGUUGGGAGGAAGGGCAGUAAGUUAAUACCUUGCUGUUUUGACGUUACCAACAGAAUAAGCACCGGCUAACUUCGUG